rnacentral:rRNA from 1 species
AUGGAAAUAUACAUCUACGUACUGGUAACUCAUCUGCACAUUGCAGCCAACGAAUCUCUUUCCAGUAUCAACUCCUUCAAAAGCCAGACAUUUCUUCGGGAUUGGAGGAGUGGUGUUCAUUGCGGAUCGAGGAACGCCCUUUUUACAAAACGACACGACAUGCCAUUUGUCGCCAAGAGGAGUCGCAGUGAUACUGAUAGAGAAAAGGAGUUCGAGCAUGCACUGGUCGACCAAGUGAGGAUGAUGCUGGGGUCGAUGAGUGACGGCGAGAUCAACGUCUCGGCAUACGACACCGCCUGGGUCGCUCUGGUGCCGAGUCUUGAUGACAGUGACAGCCCCCAGUUUCCCACCACCCUCCGGUGGAUUCUUGACAACCAGCUCCCAGACGGCUCCUGGGGAGACGCUGCCCUGUUCUCCGCCUAUGACCGGGUCAUUAACACCCUUGCCUGUGUCGUGGUUCCAACAAAGUGGUCUCUUGGCGCUCAUAAAUGCAGGAGAGGGCUCUCUUUUCUGGAGGAGAACAUGUGGAGGCUAGCGGAGGAAGACCUGGAGUCGAUGCCCAUUGGCUUCGAGAUUGCGUUCCCUUCUCUCAUGGAGGUGGCCAAGAGCUUGGGCAUUGGGUUCCCGUAUGACCACCAUGCUCUGCAGCGCAUAUAUGCCAACAGAGAAGUGAAGCUCAAGAGGAUUCCGAUGGAGAUGAUGCACAGGAUUCCAACGUCGAUCCUGCAUUCCCUUGAAGGGAUGCCCGGGGUGGACUGGCAGAAAAUCCUCAGGCUCCAGUCUAGUGAUGGGUCCUUCCUCUAUUCUCCUUCGGCUACAGCCUGUGCUCUCAUGCAAACCGGUGACGCGAAAUGCUUCGCAUACAUCGACAGGAUCGUCAAGAAAUUCAACGGAGGAGUUCCCAAUGUUUAUCCUGUCGAUCUCUUUGAGCGCAUCUGGGCCGUCGAUCGGUUGGAGCGUCUUGGAAUCUCGCGCUAUUUCAAGCAAGAAAUCAAACAGUGCCUGGACUAUGUUCAUAGGCACUGGACUGAUGAGGGGAUUGGCUGGGCGAGGAACUCCACUGUAAUAGACGUGGAUGACACAUCUAUGGCAUUCCGGCUGCUGCGGCUACAUGGAUACGAUGUCUCCCCGAGUGUAUUUGAGAAGUUUGAGAAGGACGGGGAGUUCUUCUGUUUUGCGGGGCAAUCAACGCAAGCAGUCACUGGGAUGUACAACCUGAACAGGGCCUCUCAGCUAAGAUUCCCUGGAGAGGAUGUGUUGCAGCGUGCAGGGAGAUUAUCAUAUGAGUUCCUUAGAGAAAGGGAAGCGCAGGGCAUGAUUCGAGACAAAUGGAUCAUUGCUAAGGAUCUACCAGGCGAGGUAAAAUAUACACUGGACUUCCCAUGGUAUGCAAGCUUACCGCGUGUAGAAGCAAGAGUCUACCUAGAUCAAUAUGGUGGUGAUAAUGAUGUCUGGAUUGGAAAGACACUCUACAGGAUGCCACUUGUGAACAACAACACGUAUCUUGAGUUGGCAAAGCGUGAUUUCAAUCGCUGCCAAGUCCAACAUCAGCUAGAGUGGCAUGGCCUACAAAAGUGGUUUACUGAGAAUGGCCUCGAGACUUUUGAGGUGACUUUAAGAGAUGUUUUGAGAGUUUAUUUUCUAGUCGCCGCUUGCAUUUUCGAGCCAAGCCGUGCCACCGAGCGACUUGCAUGGGCCAAGGUGUCAGUGCUGGCCAACAUUAUUACUGAAUACCUUCAUAGCGAUUUGUUGGGUAAUGAAAUGGUGGAACGGUUUAUGCAUGUCGGUAUCUAUGAAGGAAAUGGUAAUAUAUUAUGGCGUAAAGGAGAUGCAAAAGAGGACAUUCUUGUGGGGGCACUUGAGCAGCUUAUUGAUUUAUUGGCACAAGAGGCACUACCUGUUGGUGAAGGACCAAUGUACAUCAGCAAUUUGUUACGCUGUGCUUGGAUCGAAUGGAUGAUGCAACAGAAAAACAGACAGGAUGACACCUGCAUUUUAGGUGUUGUUCAAGCAGGGUCGUGCAUGGUUCCCGAUAAACAAACAUGUUUGCUUCUAGUCAAAAUUAUUGAGAUUUGUGGUGGACGAAGUGGUGAAGCAUCAUCGAUGAUAAACACCAUGGAUGGUGCUUGGUUUAUUCAACUUGCGUCCUCUAUUUGUGACAACCUUCACCACAAGAUGUUACUUUCUGAGGACACCAAAAGGAACGAGGCGACAAUGAGCCACAUGGACGAGAAAAUUGAGGCGGGCAUGCAGGAACUCACCCAGAACGUUCUCCAGGCGCAAGGCGAUGGAGCGAGCAGCGAGACGAAGCGGACCUUGUUGAGCGUCGUGAGGAGCUGUUACUACGCCGCUAACUGCCCUCCCCAUGUGUUGGAUGGACAUGUCUCCAAGGUCAUUUUCGAACAUGUGUUUUGA